CAGGGAACAAGGUCCGCUGGAUCUCCUAGCCUCCCUGUGCUGGGGGUGCUGGCUGGGUGGGGUCACCACUGGCCCUGGGGGCCCUGCGCUGCAGACUCCCGUGGCCAUCUCCUCAGGGUAUGGACAGACAAUGAGGUCUGACAUCUUAACUCGAACUCGGAUCCUGGUCCCAGGACCGGCGGAAGUGACAUGGCCCAUCACAGGCAUAAUCCAGGAGGAGGGAGCCACAUGUGCAAGGCUGGCGGCCCUCGGUGAGUGCUACCUCCAGGGCCCAGGCUACCACCUGAGAGGAGGAUUGUCACCAGAGGGCCUCUAGAAGGUACAGACGUGUGCUGGCUUCUGGCCAGCGCCCCCUGGAGAUUGCCCAAAGACCUACACCUCCAGCCCACAGAAGACCCACCUGCAUUGUUUCUUUGAGGGGGCCUACUAAGAGAGUACAUGAGCCAGCUUGCCUCCCUGGGGGCUGCUCCUCCAGGCUCAUGGGGCAUGGGUAGCCCCUCUCUGUAGCGGUCCCUGUUCUUUUAUACCCAGGGAGACCAAGGCUGGAAGGAGAGAUUGGAAGGAAGAGAGAGACUCCACCUGAUGAUAUAGCAUGGUCCCUGUUCUCUAGUGUCUCUUCAUAGGGUGGCAGGUGGAUCACUUGGGCUGGGGAGAGGGUGAGGGGUUACUAGGCACUCA